rnacentral:rRNA from 1 species
GACGAACGCUGGCGGCGUGCUUAACACAUGCAAGUCGAACGGAAAGGCCCUGCUUUUGUGGGGUGCUCGAGUGGCGAACGGGUGAGUAACACGUGAGUAACCUGCCCUUGACUUUGGGAUAACUUCAGGAAACUGGGGCUAAUACCGGAUAGGAGCUCCUGCUGCAUGGUGGGGGUUGGAAAGUUUCGGCGGUUGGGGAUGGACUCGCGGCUUAUCAGCUUGUUGGUGGGGUAGUGGCUUACCAAGGCUUUGACGGGUAGCCGGCCUGAGAGGGUGACCGGCCACAUUGGGACUGAGGUACGGCCCAGACUCCUACGGGAGGCAGCAGUGGGGAAUAUUGCACAAUGGGCGGAAGCCUGAUGCAGCAACGCCGCGUGCGGGAUGACGGCCUUCGGGUUGUAAACCGCUUUCGCCUGUGACGAAGCGUGAGUGACGGUAAUGGGUAAAGAAGCACCGGCUAACUACGUA